CAUUCUGUCAAAAACAAAUUUGUUUGGUUUUGUUUUUAAAAUUGUUGAAGUUCUAUUUUCUAUGUGGUUCUAUUUUUUAGUCAUGAAGUUAAGUAGUAUCGUGGGAUAUUUGAAGUUCUUGGGUACUGAAAAUUCCAGAAGUUUUAGAAGGAAAACAAGUUUUAAACUCUGGUCAUCUUAUUUUGGCUGGAAAAAUAGAGGAAAGUUCUGAGCAUACCAUCAAAAUAUAUGGUUUAUUCCUUCAGUAAGGUCCAAUCCCCACGAAAUUAAAGGAACCCUAUCUUUCACAAAUGGCAUGAGCAUUAGCCAAAUGUUAUGUUCUUGUAAAGCAGAAAAUAGUGGAAAAUGUAAACAUGCCUCUACUCUUGUUAAAUGUAAGUAUAAGGGAAGAUGUGAAAUUAAUGGAACAUUCAGUACAUGAGUUGAAAAAAAUGUUAACAGAUUGGCAAAUGAAGACCAUUUUUAAUUGAUCUAAACAUUUAUAGAAACAAAGUAUAUGGUUAAUAUAAAAUAUUACCUGCCUGAAGUAACUUGGUGUACAAAUCAAUAGUAACCCUAAUUUUUAUUCCCAGGGCCAGUGAGAAACAAUGUGCAUUUCAUUUCUAAGUGUUCUAAGGAAAGAUCUCAUAAGAAUAAAUAGAUCUGUAGAAUUAAGAUUAACCUAAUCUGUUUAACCAUCGAAAUUAUUGUAUUGUUAUAAAAAUAAUAAAUCUCCAUUUCAUAUUA